rnacentral:rRNA from 1 species
GAUGAACGCUAGCGGCAGGCCUAACACAUGCAAGUCGAGGGAUAAGCCUUCGGGCUGAAACCGGCGCACGGGUGCGUAACGCGUAUACAAUCUGCCUUUCACAUAGGGAUAGCCCGGAGAAAUUUGGAUUAAUACCUAAUGUUAUAUAAGAGUGGCAUCAUUUUAUAUUAAAGCUUUGGUGGUGAAAGAUGAGUAUGCGUUCUAUUAGCUAGUUGGAGAGGUAACGGCUCCCCAAGGCGACGAUAGAUAGGGGUUCUGAGAGGGAUGUCCCCCACACUGGUACUGAGAUACGGACCAGACUGCUACGGGAGGCAGCAGUGAGGAAUAUUGGACAAUGGUCGGAAGACUGAUCCAGCCAUGCCGCGUGCAGGACGACGGUCCUAUGGAUUGUAAACUGCUUUUGUAAGGGAAGAAUAAGGAGUACGUGUACUUUGAUGACGGUACCUUACGAAUAAGCAUCGGCUAACUCCGUG